GACGAACGCUGGCGGCGUGCUUAACACAUGCAAGUCGAACGGAAAGGCCCUGCUUUUGUGGGGUGCUCGAGUGGCGAACGGGUGAGUAACACGGGAGUAACCUGCCCUUGACUUUGGGAUAACUUCAGGAAACUGGGGCUAAUACCGGAUAGGUGCUCCUGCUGCAUGGGGGGGGUUGGAAAGCUUCGGCGGUUGGGGAUGGACUCGCGGCUUAUCAGCUUGUUGGGUGGGUAGUGGCUUACCCAGGCUUUGACGGGUAGCCGGCCUGGGAGGGUGACCGGCCACAUUAGGACUGAGAGACGGCCCAGUCGCCAACGGGAGACAGCGGUGGGAAAUAUGGCACAAUGGGCGGAAGCCUGAUACAGCAACGCCGCGUGCGGGAUGACGGCCUUCGGGUUGUAAACCGCUUUCGCCUGUGACGAAGCGUGAGUGACGGUAAUGGGUAAAGAAGCACCGGCUAACUACGUG
rnacentral:rRNA from 1 species